rnacentral:rRNA from 1 species
UACGUAGGGGGCUAGCGUUGUCCGGAAUCAUUGGGCGUAAAGAGCGCGUAGGCGGCCAGAUAAGUCCGGUGUGAAAGUCACAGGCUCAACCUGUGAAUGCCGCUGGAAACUGUCGGGCUAGAGUCCGGAAGAGGCGAGUGGAACUCCUGGUGUAGCGGUGGAAUGCGCAGAUAUCAGGAAGAACACCAACGGCGAAGGCAGCUCGCUAGGACGGUACUGACGCUGAGACGCGAAAGCGUGGGGAGCGAACAGG